GGAAUCCUAUAUAAAAAGACCUCUUUCCUUCAGGCAUAUCAUCCUGACUUCAAACUUCCUUCACAAAAGCAUAGCAAGAACCAGAGCAUCAAGCAUCAACUAUGAGGGCUCUUUUCAUUCUAUUUGCUGCCUUCUUACUUGUUAUUCAGACCGUUCCAGGAAAUGCUGACCCUGCACCUGACACCAUGGCUUGUAAGAUUAAUGAUCGGGGGUUCUGCAAAUACGGAGAAUGCCCUGGAAUUACACAGCCCACAGGAGGGACAUGUCAAUGGGGAAGCCUUGUGUGCUGCAAAUCACCUUUUAGACCUUGAGAUUCUGGGGAAAUUCCUGCCUACUUCGUGACCUUGUAUUAUAGACAAGAAUGAAGAACUCUCUGUUAUUGAAGAUUGAAAAUAUUGUGGAAAAUUAAAGGAACAGCACUCCCUGCCAUUCUUGCCUCCAAUCCCCACUGCUUUUUACACGCACACACUUCAACCCCUUGGAGAAACUUCCUAAAAUCUUCUUGCAAUCCAUGUAAUACAUUACUCCUAACUCAGUUCAUACAUAGACUCUUGGAACCCAAACAAGCAUUUGAGAAUGAUUAAUGAAAUCGUGGCACUGAACUGCAAACUGAAAAGUACAAAUUAUACUUAAGUAAAAGGAAGGAACAUCAGGCUUUCAGGAAUCGUGCACAAAAAAACCUCCUUACCUUUAUAUUUUUGAUUUGAUAUUUGAAAAAAUAUGAAAACACACACCUUUUGACAACCCACUAGCUAAUGCCCCUUCUUCUUUUUUGUUUCCAUGCACUUGACACACAAGGCCCCUUCCUCAUUUGGUUUACUACUGUUUAACCAUCUAUUGUAACUUAUGAUCGAUCCUUGAACUUUUGAUCUGAGAUUCUUUUCUGGGGGAAAAACGCACACAUUUAGAUUUUUAAAACCAUUCUGAGUAUUACGAACAUGACCUUUUUAUCUGUGACAUAAAAUUAACACUGACCAAACUUUACAUGUGCCUGUCACUGUUUUGAAUUCUGUUAACACAUGAAUGAAAUGAAAUAAAAAGCAUCUCCAACAACAA